AAUUUUGUCACUGGUGCACAUGUAUCCUUAGCGAUUCUGGUGUGAUCUUCUUCAAUCAGUGGCAGUUUUCGGAUUUUGGGUUGGUUCAGUUUUUGUCUAGGUGUUUUUGCGGUUUUGUGCCUGGUGUUUUUAUCCUUAAUUCUGGUUCUAGUGUAAAACAAUUGCUAGGAUCACAUGUAAGUUGUACUUGUCUCUUGAGGCAUCCCUUAUGCCUCUGUUUUAUCUCUUUAAUAUAUAUUAUGCUUUUAGCCUUUUCAAAUAAAAAAAAGUGUUUAUUAUCC